UGCCCAGCGUUCAGCUUCAGAGCAAUGGAGUUGUUUCUGUGGGCACCUCAGCCUCAAUGUCUGCCUGGUGCUUGGCCUGGCUCAGCAGUGAGCUCUGGGCAAGCUUUGAGCACGGAGCUGUGGGUGUUUGGAUGAGCUGUGAGGCACAACCUGAGCGAGGCAGCAGCAAAAAGCAUCGUGAGCAGAGGAGCGUAUUGGAGGAGUGUAAGGACAGAGCACCCACCUCUACUGGGAUCCACAAAACAUCUCUCCGAGUGGAACGGCCCUCAGCUUUGGAAGGAUGGCCCCAAAACCUCUGUGGUGGUGGCACAGAUCUGCAUGGGGAGCAUAGGGCUGCAGGGCGGCACCAGGACCGUGCUUCUGAGCAAGCAGCAGUGAUUAUUUCAGAUCUCUGCUAUGUGAGUUAUGUUCCUCCUUCCCGAUGCGCGUUUUUGGCAACAGGGAAACAAGAAAACCGCCUUGGAAAAUAUUAACAAAAUGGAAACUGAGAUCGUAAAGCAUUUUGCUCUGGCCUGCUUUCCCUUUUGCGAUCCGCACCAGCAGGGCCGUAAGCCAAUUUAGGGCCAUUUAACCUCAGGGCUUUCUCACGGAAGGAAGAGCUCUGGCAGUGCACAAAGCCCGGCACCUGCAGGCUGGGAUGCAGUGCAGAUGUUCCCAGAUGUGCCGCGGGCACCGCGCUCGGGCCGCCGGGUCACGUUCUGCCUCAGUUAUUAAGGGAACGUGAUGCUGGUCUGUAAUAUCACCGGCGUGUAUUUUGGACAGGUUUGGGUAAUUGGAGAAGUAAUGGAAAUUUAGCACCGUGUGGCCCUGGGGAAGAGCAAACUCCAAGAAUAAGAAGGGAAGCACGGUGCAGAGAGCCGGCACGGCUCAGCAGCUCUCCUGCUCCUUGGGAUUUUGCCUCUUCCUUUAGAAGUUCCUUGGCUGCAGCAAUCCUUGCGGUGACACCUCUUGCUUUGCAGUGUUUUCUCCACCAAGUCUCCAUAGCUGGAGGCCAACCACUCGUUUCCCUUCGGCACCCAACCCGCUGAGCGCUCGCAGCCCCUUUGCAUCCUGAGAACUCACCAACAAAUUGCUUCCACACUCUGGCCCGACAUCAAAACUCGUGCAGUACAAGGGUUAACCAACUUAAACGUUUAAAGAGUCAUGAAAUGGACGGUUUCCGCUUUCCAUCUGGCUUUUAUCAGUCCUAAGUCGGUUUCAGAAGUACAGCUACACAAUCAAAACACACAAUCUCCCUAGUCAGAUAAUUCAAUUUCAUAAAUGAAUUACUUAUGUGCCUGUAAGUAAAUACAUUCCUAUGCGGGGAGAUAUUGACUGCUGUCAAUGGAGUAAUGAGGUCCAGGGGAAGUGGCUGCGGCCCCUCAGGGGUGUCCUGUAGAGAUGUGGGACUGAUGGAGCUCCCAGGAUGGGGGAUCUGAGGGGAGAGGAGGGGCUGCCCAUGGGAAGGUCGCCUCGAGACACCCUUGGGGAUCAUAGCAUGGGCUGUGAGUGGUGUGAUGGAUGGGAAAGGGGAUGGACUCAUUUGUGCCUCGUGGGAUCUUCUGUGGUGGGGUCAGUGCUUGGGCAUGAUAGCCUUAGAGGUCUUUUUCAGCUUUAAUGAUUCCAUGAUUCUAAUAUCUGGGGGGAAAUGUUGGAGGAGGUGAUCAGAGAAGGCCUCAGGAUCCUGCCCAGGAGAGCAGAAGUUCUCAGCUUUCCCAUGCAGGCUGAUCUCCUCCCUUCAUAGCCUCUCUUUGCUCCACAGGAUACUAAAAAUCCCACCCUUAGACCCGCAGCUUCAUACAGGAAGACUCGGUGCUGCAGAGAUGAUUUGGAAGCUUUUGCACUUUGGUGUCUUUUCUUAAUGUGGACCUUAAUGUGUCAGUGCAGACAAGGGCACGAAUACGCAUCCACGGAGCCACUUGGGAGUUACACAGCAAAGUGUUGCACAAGGGAAACGUGGAGUUGUGCUGCUGAGCUUCCCCUGGGGCAAGGAAACUGCGAAACCUGACGUUGUGCACAUCUCAGCCCUGUGGUGUUCUGCUGCCUUCUAGUUCCAUCUCUUCAUUUAACAGUGAGCUUCAAGUACCCAAAGCCCCUAUCAGGAUGGCAGCGCUGGGCUUUAUUGUCUCUUUGACAUCUAUUUAAUUGCAACCAAGUCAAACUGCAAACAGAAUCGCACUCAGUUGCUUGAGCACAGCUGUAUGGCUGGCUGCUAGGAGCUCGUAGUGUUUCCCAACCUGCACACACUGCUCCUUGCCCUAAGCCUCCCCUUUUGCAGUGAUUUUCUGCAGAACGUGAGCAGUGCUGGCAGGGCUGCAUUGCUGAGCUCUGUGUCGGUGCCUGCUGGGGUUUCAUCCACGUCACGCAAGAGCUGGAAGCUGCUAUCAAAUGAAAUAAAAGCCAAAUAUCACAGCCUUGAAGGAAAACCAGGCUGCUCCUGCCCUGUAUGUGCCUUCCUCCGAGCAAAUCCGGCCCAUUUCUGCAUAAUUGUGCCAUAGAUCUCCCUUGCUGAAAGGGAUUCAAUGCGAAGGUAACGUUCGCUCUCUUCUGCUGGAGUCAAUUGCUGAAUAAAUACAGUGUUGAAAGCCUGGAGAAAUUCGGAGACAACUCUUCAAAAGGACAAUUUUGGGGGGUACAAAUUGUAACCACCAAACCUGCGUUCACAUUCUGCAUCUGCGGAUAAUUGCAAGCAUCUGUGG